CUGGGACCUACGUCAUGGGGCUGUUGUGACCGCGUGUGGCACUCCAUGUGGGGUGGCACAGCCAGGCGCUGAUCCGGCCACUUUGCCAGUCGGACUGACUGCGUGUCCUCUCCUUAGGGGUGAGAAGCUUCCUGGCAUCGGGCCUGGGCUCCUGAGCCCCUGAGCCAACCGACUGAUGGUCCCUGGGAGACAGCCCCCGCCCUGCUCCUGCCCCCCACACCUGAAAGGCUCAUUGUGUGGGUUUGCUGUGCUCCACAGGGAUGUAAACCGCCCCUCC
rnacentral:lncRNA from 10 species